rnacentral:rRNA from 1 species
GAUGAACGCUGGCGGCGUGCCUAAUACAUGCAAGUCGAGCGAACAGACGAGGAGCUUGCUCCUCUGACGUUAGCGGCGGACGGGUGAGUAACACGUGGAUAACCUACCUAUAAGACUGGGAUAACUUCGGGAAACCGGAGCUGAUACCGGAUAAUAUAUUGAACCGCAUGGUUCAAUAGUGAAAGACGGUUUUGCUGUCACUUAUAGAUGGAUCCGCGCCGCAUUAGCUAGUUGGUAAGGUAACGGCUUACCAAGGCAACGAUGCGUAGCCGACCUGAGAGGGUGAUCGGCCACACUGGAACUGAGACACGGUCCAGUCUCCUACGGGAGGCAGCAGUAGGGAAUCUUCCGCAAUGGGCGAAAGCCUGACGGAGCAACGCCGCGUGAGUGAUGAAGGUCUUCGGAUCGUAAAACUCUGUUAUUAGGGAAGAACAAAUGUGUAAGUAACUAUGCACGUCUUGACGGUACCUAAUCAGAAAGCCACGGCUAACUACGUG